GGUGACAUUUUUCUUGAUCUUCUCUAGGGAAGACUGAAGAUCAUUCUGGGGUUUGUGGUCUCUCUUUGUUCCAAUGAAUGACUUGAAGGCAUCAAGACACAGAGGCAUGGAAGAGGAGUCCUCUGGAGGUGGGGUUGAGAAGGCUCAAACCUGCUGCUGCUUCCUGGCUCACUUAGGUGUACGGCCACAGGGACAUCCUGAGUAGGACCAGCGGCUGGCAAGGCCUCCGAUCAUUGGCAUCCUGGUCACUUGAUGUUCAGGGACAGGAAGCAAGAUGAACCCAAGACUAGGUCAAUCAGCAGGUAACAAAAUACAGAUUCUGUAGGUGACAAGGCUUGGUGAGGGGAGUCCGUAAGGGUCUCAGGAGGCUACAGUCACAAUGCUGGUCAGCUUGCAUCCUCUUCUGAAGCUCCACCAAUGCUCAGUGGCUGCUGGCAGAACUCAACCUCCCUGCAACUGUGGGAUAGAUCCAAGCCACACCUAUGACUCAGCAGAAAGUAGAGGACAUUUGUUUCUCUACAUCCCUGUGCCCAGACCAGGAAGGCUGCAAAUGUAACCUGCUAUUGCCAAGAUCCAUCCAAGAAAUCACCCUCCAGUCUCUGCUCCCCUGACUCUGUGAUGUGGGUUAUACUGGAAACACGGCACCUCACAGGCAGAGCCUGAGAGAAACCAGGCUAGAAAACAAGUUCUAAGCAGCAUGUGUGGAGGUACGGGGGUGCGGGGAGGGAAAGAACUCCACAGGUAGGGCCCUGAAGGCCACUGCCCCUCAGCAAUUCUCCUCACCUCUGUGUCCUCAGGAGGAUGUGCCAACCUAAAAUGUACUUGCCUAGAUAAGGCCACCAUUGUGACCACACCCACAUGGGUCUGCAAAGGUGGUGGGCAGGGCUGCCUCCAGCAUCUGUGGCGAGAAGGCUGGGAGGUAGAGGCAGAAAGGAAGGUAACCACUGCAAGCGGUUGCAAAAAUGAGCACUUCUUUCUCAGUGUGCCACUAAGCAUAUCAAAGUUCCAACUAAAGCCACUUGAGGUGACCAAAGAGGAUUUCUGGGAUGGUCUGCCUGGGCAGCUAUCACAAACACCACAGACUGGUGGGCUCUAGAAGAGGGAAAUAAAACAGAAAUCUAAGAUCAAAUGCUGUCUGUUAGUCCCUUCUGAGCCCAUCCCACUUGACAUUAUAAACCCAGUCAAUAAGAACCUACGAUGUGACCCAACAGGUUUAGGGAGUCUGGGAAUCAACAUAGGAACAAGACUGCCCUUUUGAAAUUCAGACCCAGGGGCCAGGCCCAUGAUAGUAGGUAGUCCACAAAGUGAUUUUGAAAAUAAGAUGGGGUCUGGACAUUGGGGCUUAGGCACUUUAGAGCAGAGGGGCUAUGGAGACAAAGACAGGCAAUAGACCACAGAUGAAGCGGCUUAGACAGACACAGUGAAUGGGGCAUUACAGUAAAGCAACAGAGUCACCACAUAGCCUACAGAAUUCAGCAAGUAUUCAGGAAGCAGAGAUGAGCCUCCUGCUUCCUUCCCCCAGGACAAAUAACCAACUGUAAAGAAUAUUUUACAGGGCAGGAGGUUUUUCACUCCCUCGUGUGGAAUGAAAAUCCCUGGACUGGGUUCACAGUGUCCUCUUGUCAGAUCGUGUUUCAGAUGGUCCAUUCUAGGUCUUGAACUCUCCCUGACACGCUACAUUAUUUUUCUCCAAUUCUUUACUACACUACAUAAAUAAUAAAACAUAGAUGAGGUCCAGGUCUCCAUCCAUCACUCACUCACCAUAGCUUCGUAAAACUGGAGGGAACACUGCAUCCUCUCAAGGAACUCAACCCUCCACUGCGUUGGUUUCCACCAUCUUCCUCCAUCCUCCUUCCCGCUAACCCUUUUUAAAUGUUUUGUUUUGUUUUGUAUACCAAAACAAUAUGUAUGUAAAAUAUAUAACAUGUUACAUAUUUUAUAGACACAUAAUAAAGGAUGUUUUUAAAACCC
rnacentral:lncRNA from 1 species